UAGAGCCAAAGGUCUCAUUC
rnacentral:piRNA from 1 species